rnacentral:tRNA from 1 species
GGAGAUGUACCUCAGUGGUAGGGUGCUUACCUAAUGUGUCUAAGGCCCUGGGUUCAAUCCUCAGCAUCACUA